rnacentral:rRNA from 1 species
CCUACGGGAGGCAGCAGUGGGGAAUUUUGGACAAUGGGCGCAAGCCUGAUCCAGCAAUGCCGCGUGCAGGAUGAAGGCCUUCGGGUUGUAAACUGCUUUUGUACGGAACGAAACGGUGAGCUCUAAUACAGUUUGCUAAUGACGGUACCGUAAGAAUAAGCACCGGCUAACUACGUGCCAGCAGCCGCGGUAAUACGUAGGGUGCGAGCGUUAAUCGGAAUUACUGGGCGUAAAGCGUGCGCAGGCGGUGAUGUAAGACAGAUGUGAAAUCCCCGGGCUCAACCUGGGACCUGCAUUUGUGACUGCAUCGCUAGAGUGCGGUAGAGGGGGAUGGAAUUCCGCGUGUAGCAGUGAAAUGCGUAGAUAUGCGGAGGAACACCGAUGGCGAAGGCAAUCCCCUGGACCUGUACUGACGCUCAUGCACGAAAGCGUGGGGAGCAAACAGGAUUAGAUACCCUGGUAGUCCACGCCCUAAACGAUGUCAACUGGUUGUUGGGUCUUCACUGACUCAGUAACGAAGCUAACGCGUGAAGUUGACCGCCUGGGGAGUACGGCCGCGAAGGUUGAAACUCAAAUGAAUUGACGG